GGAAGCAGCUUGCUGCUUUGCUGACGAGUGGCGGACGGGUGAGUAAUGUCUGGGAAACUGCCUGAUGGAGGGGGAUAACUACUGGAAACGGUAGCUAAUACCGCAUAACGUCGCAAGACCAAAGAGGGGGACCUUCGGGCCUCUUGCCAUCGGAUGUGCCCAGAUGGGAUUAGCUAGUAGGUGGGGUAAAGGCUCACCUAGGCGACGAUCCCUAGCUGGUCUGAGAGGAUGACCAGCCACACUGGAACUGAGACACGGUCCAGACUCCUACGGGAGGCAGCAGUGGGGAAUAUUGCACAAUGGGCGCAAGCCUGAUGCAGCCAUGCCGCGUGUAUGAAGAAGGCCUUCGGGUUGUAAAGUACUUUCAGCGGGGAGGAAGGGAGUAAAGUUAAUACCUUUGCUCAUUGACGUUACCCGCAGAAGAAGCACCGGCUAACUCCGUGCCAGCAGCCGCGGUAAUACGGAGGGUGCAAGCGUUAAUCGGAAUUACUGGGCGUAAAGCGCACGCAGGCGGUUUGUUAAGUCAGAUGUGAAAUCCCCGGGCUCAACCUGGGAACUGCAUCUGAUACUGGCAAGCUUGAGUCUCGUAGAGGGGGGUAGAAUUCCAGGUGUAGCGGUGAAAUGCGUAGAGAUCUGGAGGAAUACCGGUGGCGAAGGCGGC
rnacentral:rRNA from 1 species